GAGUUUGAUUAUGGCUCAGGAUGAACGCUGGCGGCGUGCUUAACACAUGCAAGUCGAACGGGCGAAUUAUAUCGGAGGUCUUCGGGCCGAAGAGAUAAUAAGCUAGUGGCGGACGGGUGCGUAACGUGUGGGUAAUCUGCCUUUGUCAUAGGAAUAACUGCUUGAAAAAGUAGCUAAUACCAAAUAACAUAUCGUAUAGGCAUCUAUAAGAUAUCAAAGAGAAAUCGGACAAAGAUGAGCCCGCAUCUGAUUAGCUGGUUGGUAGGGUAAAAGCCUACCAAGGCGACGAUCAGUAGCCGGCCUGAGAGGGUGAACGGCCACAUUGGAACUGAGACACGGUCCAAACUCCUACGGGAGGCAGCAGUGGGGAAUAUUGCACAAUGGGGGGAACCCUGAUGCAGCAACGCCGCGUGUGUGAAGAAGGCUUUCGAGUCGUAAAACUCUGUUGUAAGGGAAGAUAAUGACG
rnacentral:rRNA from 1 species